rnacentral:ncRNA from 2 species
UGAUUCUAUAGAGGAGCUUUUAACAAUAGUAAAUACUUUAGUAGGCAUACGCAGAGUAUUGAAAGGGUAUAAAAGCCGAAAUGCUUAAUGUGGCAACAUUAAGUGUUGGUAGAAAAUCAUAAAAGAUUUCUACUCUUUGGCAAGAGCCAUUGGAGCUAUAGGUUUA